AUUGAACGCUGGCGGCAUGCCUUACACAUGCAAGUCGAACGGCAGCACGGGUGCUUGCACCUGGUGGCGAGUGGCGAACGGGUGAGUAAUACAUCGGAACAUGUCCUGUAGUGGGGGAUAGCCCGGCGAAAGCCGGAUUAAUACCGCAUACGAUCUACGGAUGACAGCGGGGGACCUUCGGGCCUCGCGCUAUAGGGUUGGCCGAUGGCUGAUUAGCUAGUUGGUGGGGUAAAGGCCCACCAAGGCGACGAUCAGUAGCUGGUCUGAGAGGACGACCAGCCACACUGGGACUGAGACACGGCCCAGACUCCUACGGGAGGCAGCAGUGGGGAAUUUUGGACAAUGGGCGAAAGCCUGAUCCAGCAAUGCCGCGUGUGUGAAGAAGGCCUUCGGGUUGUAAAGCACUUUUGUCCGGAAAGAAAUCCUUGGCUCUAAUACAGUCGGGGGAUGACGGUACCGGAAGAAUAAGCACCGGCUAACUACGUG
rnacentral:rRNA from 1 species